UGACCGCUGGCGGCGUGCCUACUACAUGCACGUCGAGCGACCGGACGAGAAGCUUGCUUUUCUGAUGUUAGCGGCGGACGGGUGAGUAACACGUGGAUAACCUACCUAUAAGACUGGGAUAACUUCGGGAAACCGGAGCUAAUACCGGAUAAUAUUUUGAACCGCAUGGUUCAAAAGUGAAAGACGGUCUUGCUGUCACUUAUAGAUGGAUCCGCGCUGCAUUAGCUAGUUGGUAAGGUAACGGCUUACCAAGGCAACGAUGCAUAGCCGACCUGAGAGGGUGAUCGGCCACACUGGAACUGAGACACGGUCCAGACUCCUACGGGAGGCAGCAGUAGGGAAUCUUCCGCAAUGGGCGAAAGCCUGACGGAGCAACGCCGCGUGAGUGAUGAAGGUCUUCGGAUCGUAAAACUCUGUUAUUAGGGAAGAACAUAUGUGUAAGUAACUGUGCACAUCUUGACGGUACCUAAUCAGAAAGCCACGGCUAACUACGUG
rnacentral:rRNA from 1 species